GGGGAUGUAGCUCAGCUGGGAGAGCGCAGCGUUCGCAACGCUGAAGUCGUGGGUUCGAAUCCCAUCAUCUCCACCA
rnacentral:tRNA from 2 species